rnacentral:rRNA from 1 species
AUACGGAGGGUGCGAGCGUUAAUCGGAAUUACUGGGCGUAAAGCGUACGUAGGCGGUUGGUUAAGUUAGAUGUGAAAGCCCCGGGCUUAACCUGGGAACUGCAUUUAAAACUGGCGAACUAGAGUUGAGUAGAGGGGAGUGGAAUUUCAGGUGUAGCGGUGAAAUGCGUAGAGAUCUGAAGGAACACCAGUGGCGAAGGCGACUCCCUGGACUCGAACUGACGCUGAGGUACGAAAGCGUGGGUAGCAAACGGGAGUAGAAACCCGGGUAGUCC